rnacentral:rRNA from 1 species
GUAGGGAAUAUUGGGCAAUGGUCGGAAGACUGACCCAGCCAUGCCGCGUGCAGGAAGACGGCCCUCUGGGUUGUAAACUGCUUUUAUCUGGGAAGAAAAAGGCCAUGCGUGGCAAAUUGCCGGUACCAGAUGAAUAAGCACCGGCUAACUCCGUGCCAGCAGCCGCGGUAAUACGGAGGGUGCGAGCGUUGUCCGGAGUUAUUGGGUUUAAAGGGUGCGUAGGCGGCUGAUUAAGUCAGCGGUGAAAGACUUCGGCUUAACCGGAGCAGUGCCGUUGAUACUGGUUAGCUUGAGUGUUGGAGGGGUACAUGGAAUUGAUGGUGUAGCGGUGAAAUGCAUAGAUACCAUCAGGAACACCGAUAGCGAAGGCAUUGUACUGGCCAACAACUGACGCUGAUGCACGAAAGUGUGGGGAUCGAACAGGAUUAGAUACCCUUGUAGUCC